rnacentral:lncRNA from 1 species
UAGCUGUACUCUUUAGUCACUAUAAUGCUUUCUUCACCAAUAUUUUGUCCUUUUCUCCGACAGACAUAAAAUAAUCAAUACUCCUUAAACAGUCAUAAUAGAGAGCAGUCCUGAUGAUGAUCUGGUGAACCUGGAGGUUUUAGAUGAGGAGACCCUCAUCAAACACCUCUCGAAGAGAUAUUACGAGCUUCAGAUAUACACCCUUAUUGCUCUCAAUCCCUUUCAAACUCUAAGCAUCUACUCGGAACAGGUUAGUUUAUGACAGCAGUGUCAUUGUGUGUCAUAAUUCCUGUGAAUACCUCUGUAAAGACAGAACGGUAUUGAUAUUGUAAUAUGGUGUGUUUGCUCACAGUUCUCUAAGGUGGAGCGAGCCGACAGUCCUCCACACAUCUUUGCUGCUGCUGAUGCAGCAUACCAGGGCAUGAUGACCUUCUGCAAAGACCAGGCACCUUUGGAGAGAGUGGAGCUGGGAAGACAGUGCCCAUCUGAUUGUCCAGCAUCUCACCUGCAUGGGAAAGGGAGUUGUGUAAAAACAAUUGCUUUACUGUGAUCCCAGGCAAACCAUCGGGACUCUGCGAUAGAAGAUCCUCCAGCUUCGGCCUUGCUCUGCAUCGGCCCUGAGGUGCUCAUGGAGGCCCUGGCGUCCCGCUGUGUGGUAACCCGGGGAGACACCUUCAUCCACACCAGUACUGUAGACAAAGCCGGGACGCCAUGUCCAAGGCUCUGUACGGACACCUCUUCAGCUGGAUAGUCAACCGCAUCAAUGCCCUACUGCAGCCUGAUAUGAAUAACUAGUAAGUGUAAGGCACUGGUUCUCGCUCUCUGGUCCCUCUUGUCUUUGGUUGUUGCACUCUGCUUCAGAUG